AAAACUUUCAACAACGGAUCUCUUGGUUCUCGCAUCGAUGAAGAACGCAGCGAAAUGCGAUAAGUAAUAUGAAUUGCAGAUUUUCGUGAAUCAUCGAAUCUUUGAACGCACAUUGCGCCCUAUGGUAUUCCAUAGGGCAUGCCUGUUUGAGCGUCAUUUCUCUC
rnacentral:rRNA from 1 species